rnacentral:lncRNA from 1 species
ACAGUCUCAUUCAGUUGCUGCAUCAAGCUUGAAGUCCACAAAUUACAGAAAAGGGGUCCCAAUCCAGACCCCAAGAGAGGGCUCUUGGAUCUCACGCAAGAAAGAAUUCAGGGAAGUUUGAUGGCAUGUCUUUAUAUCAUGGCCAUGGGCAGGACUUGGAAAAAGUUUUACCACUAAAGCAUCUAUGAACUCAAGAAAGAAAACACUGGCUAUGUACAAUGAUGACUGUGAUCUUUUAAAUUUAUCUCAAAUAGCGAACCUACCAGUCAUAGGCAGUUCCCAAAUAUCUACAUGAGAACAGCACAGCAACAACAAUCUACUGGGAAAUCAACCUGGAGAUGUGUUUACACGGCUCAACUAUGUAAGAGUGAAUAAAGAUCAUUUGUCCAUAGCAAAGAACACCGGAGAGGAAGUCGCUCCUGUAGAUCACGGGAGUCGCAAUCUUAUUGGAGGAAGUGAUUUAACCAACUCACAGUUAAGUGUCCUUCAUGAUGAUCUGGGAAAUGAAUGAAUAAGUACUCUGUGGCUACCAGUUGCAUUAUGGAGUCACCUAGGAAUUCCAUUCUCUGAUUGUGGCCUCUGGAAAAAGAAACAUCAAAGUAAAGAAAUCAAUAACCAUUUAUGGAUUUCCAAAAAAACACCCAGAAUUUUAAAAAAGGAAUGACU